ensembl:lncRNA
GUGGGAGGGGAAUCAUCUAAAGGCAGCAGAUUUAUUUUACUCAAACGCAGGUCAUCAGAUUUAGAGUAAAAAUAACUCCUGUUUUAGAAAUGUAGUUACCAUUAACUACUAAAGUAGUGCGGUUUCUUUGAUUGUGAAGCGUCUGUCCCGAAGUCGUGUUCUUACACUCUAAAAAACGCUGGGUUGUUUUUUCAACCCAAAUGCUGGGUUGAGACCGCUAGGUAGGAAAUUUGGUUGUUUUAACCCAAGUUUGGGUUGAAAAUUGGUCUUGAUCAUAACCCAGCGGCGCUGGGUUGUGAACGCGGACGUGAAGGAGAGCACGCACGUCACGUUAAAAUCGUACGUCUCCAGUGCGAGAAGCCGCCAUUUUCUCAGCGUGAAAGAAGCGAGAAGCGAGUGAAAGACAUUACGACUUGUUGAGCUCGUGUCUUCAUUGUCCCCGCACUGAGAGUUAAAGACACCUGCUCUUGUGAGGAGUCACAGACUGUGUGAGGAGGAGACGGUGUUCUCAGCUUCUUCUGAAGAGAGGGACAGACGGGUUUAAGGCAAGUGAACUUCAGAAUUAUAAGUUAUCUUUUUUUUUUACUAAGACUAAAAUAAUGUUUGUUUUUGUAGAUGUUGAAAGCCAGAGACAUAGGAGAGCAUCAAUCUUUUGAGAUUUAUAACUCAAGCUAACUUUGGAGUUAAGGACACAGAAGUCUGCUUGUGUGAGGAGGAGGCGGUGUUCUCAGCUUCUUCUGAAGAGAGGGAAAGAUAGUUUAAGGCAAGUGAACUUCAUAAUUUCAUAAUAUCAGUUAUCAGUUGUUUUCUUUUACUAAGAGUAAAAUAAUGUUUGUUUUUUGUUUUUGUAGAUGUUGAAAGCCAGAGACAUAGGUGAGCAUCAUUCUUUUGAGAUUUAUGUAAGUUAUUUUUAGCAAAAUAAAUGUUUCUGUUGUCUCCUGUCUCUUUACUUCACAUUUUGAUGCAACAACAGUGUGAUUAUGUGCUCAUUUCAUUAAAACCAUCGAUGUCCGUUUUUCAUUGCAGAAGUCAAACCAACUUUGGAGUUGUCUGAUUUGGAGAGUCAUCAUUCUUGGUCUUCCCUCUUAAGGGAAUAGUUCACACAAAAAAUCAUUUAGUUGCCCUCAUGUCAUUCCAAACCUAUACGACUUUUGUCUGUCUUUAGAAUACAAAUUAAUAUAUUUUGAAUUUUCUCAGAUUUUUGUUAAUCCAUUGAGAGUCUAGAUAGUCAGUAUUUUCAAACCUCAUAAAUUCAGAGUUAUUGUAGAAGUAAUCCAUUCCGAUAUUUAUAUAUGAUUAAAUCUUAAAUUAUAUGAUAGCAAACACGUGUGUUCAAAGUAAAAUAUUGGUCUCCCAGACUUGCAAUGGAGGACAAAAAUUAAUAGAAUAUUAAAUAUAUUUAUUUGUGUUCCAAAAAUUAGCAGAGUUUGUAUGGGUCUGGAACAACAUGGGGGAGUAAAUUAUGACCAUUUUCAUUUUUUGGUGGACUAACCCUUUGAAGAGCAGCCCUCAACGUACAUGAAAAUUUGUGAGGCCACUGAUGAAGAACAGGUGGUGACUGGGAUGAAUGCUGGUCAAAGAAGAGAAUGUCCUUUCCCCUAAACUGAUGCAACAGUGGUUUUAAAGGAGGACGCUGCCCUGGGUGAUGUAGAUGUCACAUGUGCUGAUGGGGCUUCUUCAUGACUACAUCAGUUAUGCUAAAGAGAUCAUGAAAGUUGACAGUGAUGCAUGAUCUGUAUUCAUGGACUGUGAAACAAACUGUAAGUGUAUAAUUUGUAAAAACAAAAUGUAAAAUGCUUGUUCUGUGUUUAGUAAAUGAGUUUACACUCUGUCAUUCAUACACAUGCUCACAUUCUUUCACACACACACACGCGCGUCUGUUAAAUGUUAUAAUAUCAGUGUUAAUGUUGUGGUUUAUUUGUGUACUGUAAUGCUAGAAUAGUUGGUAAAGAACUUAACUAAUUGUACAUUUAUUGUAUAAUAGUACGUUCGUAUAUUUUUAUACAAUAUAUAAAAUUUACCAAAGUCCAAUUUGAUCUUUAAAGUUAUAUUCAACAAAUGUUCAAUGCUUUAUGAACUCUGUAGCUGUUAAUGCCAUACUUUUCUGCAUUUCUUCUUACAUGCAUG